rnacentral:rRNA from 1 species
AGUGAACGCUGGCGGUAUGCCUAACACAUGCAAGUCGAACGGCAGCACAGUAAGAGCUUGCUCUUACGGGUGGCGAGUGGCGGACGGGUGAGGAAUACAUCGGAAUCUACUUUUUCGUGGGGGAUAACGUAGGGAAACUUACGCUAAUACCGCAUACGACCUACGGGUGAAAGCAGGGGAUCUUCGGACCUUUCGCGAUUGAAUGAGCCGAUGUCGGAUUAGCUAGUUGGCGGGGUAAAGGCCCACCAAGGCGACGAUCCGUAGCUGGUCUGAGAGGAUGAUCAGCCACACUGGAACUGAGACACGGUCCAGACUCCUACGGGAGGCAGCAGUGGGGAAUAUUGGACAAUGGGCGCAAGCCUGAUCCAGCCAUACCGCGUGGGUGAAGAAGGCCUUCGGGUUGUAAAGCACUUUUGUUGGGAAAGAAAAGCAGCAGGUUAAUACCCCGCUGUUAUGACGGUACCCAAAGAAUAAGCACCGGCUAACUUCGUG